rnacentral:rRNA from 1 species
UCCUGGCUCAGAUUGAACGCUGGCGGCAUGCCUUACACAUGCAAGUCGAACGGUAACAGGCCGCAAGGUGCUGACGAGUGGCGAACGGGUGAGUAAUACAUCGGAACGUGCCCGAGAGUGGGGAUAACGGAGCGAAAGCUUUGCUAAUACCGCAUACGAUCUACGGAUGAAAGCAGGGGACCGCAAGGCCUUGCGCUCAUGGAGCGGCCGAUGGCAGAUUAGGUAGUUGGUGGGAUAAAAGCUUACCAAGCCGACGAUCUGUAGCUGGUCUGAGAGGACGACCAGCCACACUGGGACUGAGACACGGCCCAGACUCCUACGGGAGGCAGCAGUGGGGAAUUUUGGACAAUGGGCGAAAGCCUGAUCCAGCCAUGCCGCGUGCAGGAUGAAGGCCUUCGGGUUGUAAACUGCUUUUGUACGGAACGAAAAGACUCUGGUUAAUACCUGGGGUCCAUGACGGUACCGUAAGAAUAAGCACCGGCUAACUACGUG